GACGAACGCUGGCGGCGUGCCUAAUACAUGCAAGUAGAACGCAGUUGCGAACGGGUGAGUAACGCGUAGGUAACUGCCUCAUAGCGGGGGAAAACUAUUGGAAACGAUAGCUAAAACCGCAUUCUGGUAGAUGGACCUGCGUUGUUUUUGCUAGUGGGUGAGGUAAACGCUCACCAAGGGGCCGAUACAUAACCGGCCUGAGAGGGAGAUCGACCACACUGGGACUGGAGCCAGGGCCCGGCUCCUACGGGAGGCAACAGUAGGGAAACAUCGGCAAUGGGCGGAAGUCUGACCGAGGAACGCCGCGUGAGAGGAGAAGGUUUUCGGGUCGUAAAGCUAUGUUGUUAGAGGAGCGGUAACUAACCAGAAAGGGACGGCUAACUCCGUGCCAGCAGCCGCGGUAAUAC
rnacentral:rRNA from 1 species